UACGUAGGGUGCAAGCGUUAAUCGGAAUUACUGGGCGUAAAGCGUGCGCAGGCGGUUAUGCAAGACAGAUGUGAAAUCCCCGGGCCCAACCUGGGAACUGCAUUUGUGACUGCAUAGCUGGAGUGCGGCAGAGGGGGAUGGAAUUCCGCGUGUAGCAGUGAAAUGCGUAGAUAUGCGGAGGAACACCGAUGGCGAAGGCAAUCCCCUGGGCCUGCACUGACGCUCAUGCACGAAAGCGUGGGGAGCAAACAGG
rnacentral:rRNA from 1 species